rnacentral:tRNA from 1 species
AUCUGGAUAGCUCCGUUGGUUAGAGUGUGGUGCUGAUAAUACCAAGGUCACAGGUUCGAUCCCCAUAUGGGGCA